CCAUUUUGAACAUGCGGCUGCCGCAGGAGUGAGUCUCCGCAGGCAGGGCUGCUGGCUGGGCGACCUCACCGUUUCCCUCUUUCUCCUCCCUCUUUCCGUCCGCAGAGGGCACCCAGGGACACAGCUGUAGCUCUGGACUGCGUCCGCAGUGAACUCACGGCCAUGAUGCUAAGAGGAAACCUGAAGCAAGUGCGCAUUGAGAAAAACCCGGCCCGCCUUCGCGCUCUCGAGUCGGCGGCGGGGGAGAACGAGCCGGCCGCCGCCAUGGCGCUCGCGCUGUCCGGGGAGCCGGCGCCGCCCGCGCCCCCGGAGGACCACGCGGACGAGGAGGUGGGCUUCACCAUCGACAUCAAGAGCUUCCUCAAGCCGGGCGAGAAGACGUACACGCAGCGCUGCCGCCUCUUCGUGGGAAACCUGCCCACGGACAUCACCGAGGAGGACUUCAAGCGGCUCUUCGAGCGCUACGGCGAGCCCAGCGAAGUCUUCAUCAACCGCGACCGCGGCUUCGGCUUCAUCCGUCUGGAAUCCAGAACAUUGGCUGAAAUUGCAAAAGCAGAGUUGGAUGGCACCAUUUUGAAGAGCAGACCUCUCCGAAUUCGUUUUGCUACACAUGGAGCAGCCCUAACUGUCAAGAACCUUUCUCCAGUUGUUUCCAAUGAGCUUCUAGAGCAAGCAUUUUCCCAGUUUGGUCCAGUAGAGAAAGCCGUUGUGGUUGUGGAUGAUCGUGGUAGAGCUACAGGAAAAGGUUUUGUAGAAUUUGCAGCAAAACCUCCUGCACGAAAGGCUCUGGAGAGAUGUGGUGAUGGGGCGUUCUUGCUAACAACGACCCCGCGUCCAGUCAUUGUGGAGCCUAUGGAGCAGUUUGACGAUGAAGAUGGCUUGCCAGAGAAGCUAAUGCAGAAAACUCAACAAUAUCAUAAGGAAAGAGAACAGCCGCCACGUUUUGCUCAACCUGGGACAUUUGAAUUUGAGUAUGCAUCUCGAUGGAAGGCUCUUGACGAAAUGGAAAAGCAGCAGCGUGAGCAGGUUGAUAGAAACAUCAGAGAAGCCAAAGAGAAACUGGAGGCAGAAAUGGAAGCAGCUAGGCACGAACACCAAUUAAUGCUAAUGAGGCAAGAUCUAAUGAGGCGUCAAGAAGAACUCAGACGCUUGGAAGAACUCAGAAACCAAGAGCUGCAAAAACGGAAACAAAUACAACUGAGACAUGAAGAAGAGCAUCGUCGUCGUGAGGAGGAAAUGAUCCGACACAGAGAGCAGGAGGAACUUAGGCGACAACAAGAGGGCUUUAAGCCAAACUAUAUGGAAAAUAGAAGAUUAGAAGCAGCAGAAGUGGGACAGGUUGGCUGCCAAGAGCAACUCAUCAGGAAAUAUUCCAAAGGGUCUCCUAUUAAAAUGCCGCAACUUCAUUCAUUGUUGAUCUGAUUGUCUAUGUGCACUUCUGCAGACACUAAAGAUACCGUUUUUGGAAUACACUUCUAAUUCAGACAUAGUGUACCCCAGUGAGGAGGACUUGCUGUAGAUGGAGCACUGGGUAAAAGAGGAUCCUGACUGAUGCUGUUCAUAACACUGCAGAUUACACUUGUUUGAUGUUUGAGUGAUUUCUUCCCAGUACAGCAUUGUGAUAGUAUUUACUGCACAUGAAUAUAUAAUGGAUUCUGCAAGACAUGUCUUUCCUAGUACUCUAUAAAACACACAUUUUAUAAGGAUGACAGCAAUAAGCAUAAACCUUUACCCCAAUGAAAAAUCUGGGGUGUGCAUGCACUCUCUUUGGAGAAUAUUGGCCCAAGGUAUUAGUAAGGAGGAUAAAAGAAAACAUGGAUGAAGCUCCCUGAAAUUUGGCUUCCAGUUUAGAGACUAGCACGUGCUGGAGUCCUGUUUCCUUUCAGCUCUAGAAAACGAACAUUGGGUAGCAGUUCUCCAGGCAGCUCAGACCAGCAUCGUUAUCACUUGGGAACCUUUUAAGAAUGCACAGUCUCAGGUCCCCUCUUCGUCUACUUAAUAGAAACUCUGCGAGUGGAAUCCAGCAGUAUGUCUCGUUAUUUACAGUCCUCCAGGCCUAUGUGAGGAAGGAGGAGAAAUAAUUACUGACACCUAAAAUAAGAUUUCAUGAAAAGGAUCCCCAUAAUUCCAAAACUACGCACUACUUGGAAUUGCAUCCGCUGAAGGAAAAUUCUCAUCUUCCCCAUCAAGAUGCUUCUGGAAGUCUUCUAACGUCAUCCAUUCUAGCUGUAAGUCCAUGCCCAAACUCAAGAUCUGUUGUUUGCCAUCUGGAACACACAAGAACCUUAGUAAGUACAUUUUUCUGGAUAAUAAAAAAAUACAAUGCGGUUUUAUUAAAUCUGUGGCGUCAAAACCAAAGCUUUAUAUAUGCUCUUACAUAUAUCAUUAUGUAACUCAGUCUUUAAAUUUCUGAUUUUCUUCGGCAAGCAAUAUGAACACCCACAUUUAGAUGUCACGGUGCUUCAAAGGCAUAAAGAUAAACAGGUAACUUAUUAACUCAAACAGUGAAAUAUGAAUUUUAAGCACAGGAUUAAGCAGCUCAGAGGAACAGAGAAAUCACAGGGAUUCAGGAAGAGGACUCUACCAUUUCCUUCUUUGGCCAUUCUUCUUGGACAGACAUUGCUUUCAAUCAUUUAUGUAGGUAAAGUCACUCUAAAUGUGUAAACCAGACCUGUAUGUAAAUAAGUCAUUGCUUACUGAUCCUUCCAGACUCAGCUCCAGCUUCUCCUCCUGGAACCCCUCUCUGCUGAGUACCCCGCCGUGCUCCCACGGCUCUCUACUGCCCAUCACACCACGAGGCAAGUGCAAGCUGCUCCCCUCAUUUGUCUGAUCCACAGGCUCAUUAACACUUUGGACGGACAUGGUCGUCCCCUACUGGCAGUGCAAUCAAUGAGAUGUGAGCAUAACUCAUUGGAGAGGAACUCAAAAUGACUGUACUAUUUUAAAAAGUUGAAAAGCACAAAUAUUUGAUGGUAAGAGUGAAAGGAUUUUCACCUAAAAUCAAUUCCUCAAACUACACAGAUGUUAUGCAGUUAACCUUGCCAUAGAAAUGAAGUUUGUAAAAGAGACGAGAAUAAAUGCAGGAACUUGUCCCAGAGCUCUGAACCCAAACACUUCCUGUGCUGCCUCCAAGAGCACUCCAUCGGAGACAGCACUGCCUUUGCAGCUACCCGUCCUGGAUCUGAAUCCCAGCUCCAUGUUACCUGGAUGUCUUUGUCUAAGGCAUAAACUUGCUGCACCCCACUUUCUGAAUAAUGACAGUAGUGUUAACAAUGAAAGCAGCUAACAUUCAUUAAGGAGUGUGAACUUAUUUAAACGAAUUAAUACACUGAAUUAAUUUGAUUUAAUACACAAUAACCUGUAAAGGGAUACAUGUUACAGAUGAGGAAAGUGAGGCUCAGACACACACACCAGGAAGCCAAGAGCCACAGCUGCAAUGAGACGUAUCUGAAAGCACAGGUGGACCUCCCCCACUGCAGCGCCACAACAGAGCACACAGAAAGGUCUGGGAGCAAGAGAGAUGAGCGUUCAGGUAAGCUGAGACAACAGCAUCUGAUUUACAGGACUGGCACGGAGCUACAGGGUCAGAAAGGGUUAUGCUGCAGCUCAGCUUUCUGUCUCUAAUGAAGCCAACUGGUUCAAACUCCUCUCUUCAUUCCUACCAAGGACUGCAUCUUGGAUCUUAACUCAGCAUCUGGUGGUUUUAACUUUUUCUCUUUAUUUUUAAUAAAAAACUAGAUGUAAAGGAAAGAUCGUAGGUAACGAGGUGAACUCUGUGAAUGCGGCACUGCCCUGAACACAGAACCACUCUAGGCCACGCGUGCUCCCUUCUACCCCACGACACCGACCGCAGAGGCAGGUCUUGUACAUCUGGGAUUCUGGUCUGUCAUUCCCUUUCAUUCUUUUUUAAAAGUAGUAUGGUUAUAAAUACAUGUAUCCGAAAAAAAUCUGCAGUUAGUUUUGGUAACUUCUUAGUUUCAUAAAAAUUGCUUUCUGUGAUGGUUAGUUCUGUGUGUCAGCUUGACUGGGGAAGCCUGGACAGCUGGUGAAACAUGGUUUCUGGGUGUGUCUGGAAGAGGUUAGCAUCUGAGUCAGUAGGCUGAGUUAAAGAUCCCUCCUCAUCAGGGUGGCCCAACAUCACUGAAUCCCUGGCGUGGCCGAGGAAGGGAGAUUUCUCUCCUCUUGAGCUGGGACAUCCCUCUUUUUCUGCCCUCAGAUUGGAGUUCCUGGUUCUUGGGCCUUCAACUCCAGGGCUUACACCAUCGGCUCCACGGUUCUCAGGCCUCCGGACUCGGACACCACCAGCUUUCCUGGGUCUCCAGCUUGCACAUGGCAGACUGUGGGAGUCUGCUAACCCUCCAUAAUUACGAUAAUCAAUUAUCCUCACACCAUCCACGAAGAGUUCAUCCUCCCCAUGGAUCUGUAUUGCCACUUGUCAUCUACCCAGUUUUUAGAUCUGAGAGAGUCUGAUUAUGAGGUCUCUGCUCUGUUGAGUAGCUCAGCUACCUUCUCUGUGCCAGAGGACUGUCUAUUAGUCUUUUCAGUGAAGCAACUUCUGGCCUUAAUGAUGCUCUCUAUUGUUGGAGGAGGUCACUGACUGAGAGCAUGAGACUGCUGGCUUCCCCAGAGCUGGACCUGGGCAACGGGAGGCCCCUGCCCUAUCCUUGGAAUGCAUGUUCUGCUCAACGUUUCCAUGGUAGAAACCACUUCAAGGACACAGCCUUGAGAGCGUAAGGUGUUGCUGAGACCAUCUGGACUGAUUCGUGACUGAACUACAUUCAGGCAUUCGGGUGGGUGGGUGUGGGGAUCUACUCGUCCGGCACUGCCCAAGACAAGCCUCCUAUGUAAGUUCCCUUGCUGAUUAAACCUGCCACCCCCCAUCUGGAGUGGCCUGCCUCUUU